rnacentral:tRNA from 1 species
AAAAACUUAGUUAAUAAAUAACAUUAGCUUGUCAAGCUAAAAUUAUCAGAGGGUAGUUUUUU